AUGCUCGAUUCAGCAGCACAUAUACUAAAAUUGGAACGAUACAGAGAAUAUUAGCAUGGCCCCUGAGCAAGGAUGACAUGUAAAUUUGUGAAUCGUGGGCUGGAGAG
ensembl:snRNA U6 U6 spliceosomal RNA